AUUGAACGCUGGCGGCAGGCCUAACACAUGCAAGUCGAGCGGAUGAAGGGAGCUUGCUCCUGGAUUCAGCGGCGGACGGGUGUGUAAUGCCUAGGAAUCUGCCUGGUAUUGGUGGAUAACGUCCGGAAACGGGCGCUACUACCGCAUACGUCCUGAGGGAGCAAGUGGGGGAUCUUCGGACCUCUCGCUCUCAGAUGAGCCUAGGUCGGGUUAGCUAGUUGGUGGGUUAAAGGCCUACCAAGGCGGCGAUCCGUAACUGGUCUGAGAGGAUGAUCAGUCACACUAGAACUGGGACACGGACCAGACGCCUACGGGAGGCAGCAGUGGGGAAUAGUGGACAGUAGUGGAAAACCUGAUACAGCGAGGGGACGUGUGUGGAGAAGACGUUCGGAUUGGGAAGAACGUUAAGGGGGGAGAAAGCGCAGUAGGUUGAGACGAUGCGGGUGUGACGGUAACGAGAGAAGAAGCACCGGCUAACUACGUG
rnacentral:rRNA from 1 species